rnacentral:rRNA from 1 species
GCCACCAAGCCUUCGAUGGAUAGGGGUUCUGAGAGGAAGGUCCCCCCACAUUGGAACUGAGACACGGUCCAAAACUCCUACGGGAGGCAGCAUG